rnacentral:snRNA from 1 species
AGCUUUGCAUGGUGGCAGUACCGUAGCCAGUGAGGUUUAUCCGAGGCGUGAUUAUUGCUCAUUGAAAACUUUUCCCACAGUAUUUACUUCGUAAUCUUUGUAUUUCUCUAACAGUAGUCAUAGCCCUUCUUUUUGAUUCUGCAAUUUGAGU